rnacentral:rRNA from 1 species
AUUGAACGCUGGCGGCAGGCCUAACACAUGCAAGUCGGACGGUAGCACAGAGAGCUUGCUCUCGGGUGACGAGUGGCGGACGGGUGAGUAAUGUCUGGGGAUCUGCCCGAUAGAGGGGGAUAACCACUGGAAACGGUGGCUAAUACCGCAUAACGUCGCAAGACCAAAGAGGGGGACCUUCCGGCCUCUCACUAUCGGAUGAACCCAGAUGGGAUUAGCUAGUAGGCGGGGUAACGGCCCACCUAGGCGACGAUCCCUAGCUGGUCUGAGGGGAUGACCAGCCACACUGGAACUGAGACACGGUCCAGACUCCUACGGGAGGCAGCAGUGGGGAAUAUUGCACAAUGGGCGCAAGCCUGAUGCAGCCAUGCCGCGUGUAUGAAGAAGGCCUUCGGGUUGUAAAGUACUUUCAGCGGGGAGGAAGGCGAUGUGGUUAAUAACCGCAUUGAUUGACGUUACCCGCAGAAGAAGCACCGGCUAACUCCGUGCCAGCCGCCGCAGUAAUAC